rnacentral:rRNA from 1 species
AGCUCCAAUAGCGUAUAUUAAAGUUGUUGCAGUUAAAAAGCUCGUAGUUGGAUUUCUGGCAUGAUGCGCCUGGCCCGCUCCGAUUACGGAUGUGUGUGCUAGUGCGCGUCUGCCAUCCAUUUACAGAAUGUAUCUACCCUUCAUUGGGCCGGAUAUGUGAUGUAAAUCUUUUACUUUGAAAAAAUUAGAGUGUUUAAAGCAGGCAUUUGCUAUGAAUACAUUAGCAUGGAAUAAUAAUCUAGGACUUCGGUUUUAUUUUGUUGGUUUCUAAAUCUGGAGUAAUGAUUGAUAGGGAUAGUUGGGGGUGCUAGUAUUUAGGGGCCAGAGGUGAAAUUCUUGGAUUCUCUAAAGACUAACUUAUGCGAAAGCAUUCACCAAGGAUGUCUUCU